GGCCCGCUGGCCAAAUGGUAAGGCGUCAGAUUUCGGUACUGUUCUCUGAAGAUUGUGCGUUCGAGCCGCACGUGGGUCG